UAACAGAAGCCAUGGUAUUUUGGUGGGU
rnacentral:piRNA from 1 species